GCCAGACACUGGCAAGGCAAUCGCUAUCAAGGUGCUUGGUAGAAGAGGGAUACAAAGCGACGAAGAAUGGCAGGUUGGGGUUCUGAUUAAAUCAUCCUCUCUUUCUCCCUUUCACGGUAUCUGAAAGAAUUAUGUUUUUUUGUUGAUUUCAGAAUGAAUUGAGAUUUCUAAACAAAUCAAAUCAUCCAAAUGUGGUGAAGCUUAUGGGAUAUUGCAGUGAGAGACAUCAUAGGAUUGUGGUCUAUGAGUACAUGUGCAACGGAAGCUUGGAUGCCCAUCUCUUGAGAGGUAGUGCUCAAUCCUUUACUUACUGUGACCGAAGAAAAAUGGCUGAUAUAAUCAUGGCAUACAGAGAAUAAUACAGGGCUAAACUGGAAUAGAAGAAUCAAAAUAGCUAUUGGAGUAGCAAGGGCAAUAGCUUACCUUCACAGCUGCACGAGGCCAGUCAUUCAUCGGGACCUCAAAUCCUCUAAUAUUCUCCUUGAUGCUGUCAGUUUUUCUCCCAUGAUGCUUAUUUUUAUGUGCAUCCGAUUACACAUACACUAACUAACAUCUACCCUCG
rnacentral:lncRNA from 1 species